rnacentral:rRNA from 1 species
UUCGGGGUGGAUUAGUGGCGAACGGGUGAGUAACACGUGAGCAACCUGCCCUUGACUCUGGGAUAAGCCUGGGAAACUGGGUCUAAUACCGGAUACAACCUCCUGCCGCAUGGUGGGGGGUGGAAAGCCUUGUGCGGUCUUGGAUGGGCUCGCGGCCUAUCAGCUUGUUGGUGGGGUGAUGGCCUACCAAGGCGACGACGGGUAGCCGGCCUGAGAGGGUGACCGGCCACACUGGGACUGAGACACGGCCCAGACUCCUACGGGAGGCAGCAGUGGGGAAUAUUGCACAAUGGGCGGAAGCCUGAUGCAGCGACGCCGCGUGGGGGAUGACGGCCUUCGGGUUGUAAACCCCUUUCGGCAGGGAACAAGCCCCUUGGGGUGAGGGUACCUGCGGAAGAAGCGCCGGCUAACUACGUGCCAGCAGCCGCGGUAAUACGUAGGGCGCGAGCGUUAUCCGGAAUUAUUGGGCGUAAAGAGCUCGUAGGCGGUUUGUCGCGUCUGCUGUGAAAGCCCGGGGCUCAACCCCGGGUCUGCAGUGGGUACGGGCAGGCUGGAGUGCAGUAGGGGAGACUGGAAUUCCUGGUGUAGCGGUGAAAUGCGCAGAUAUCAGGAGGAACACCGAUGGCGAAGGCAGGUCUCUGGGCUGUAACUGACGCUGAGGAGCGAAAGCAUGGGGAGCGAACAGGAUUAGAUACCCUGGUAGUCCAUGCCGUAAACGUUGGGCACUAGGUGUGGGGGCCAUUCCACGGUUUCCGCGCCGCAGCUAACGCAUUAAGUGCCCCGCCUGGGGAGUACGGCCGCAAGGCUAAAACUCAAAGGAAUUGACGGGGGCCCGCACAAGCGGCGGAGCAUGCGGAUUAAUUCGAUGCAACGCGAAGAACCUUACCAAGGCUUGACAUGUGCCGGACCGUCCCAGAGAUGGGGCUUCCCUUCGGGGCCGGUUCACAGGUGGUGCAUGGUUGUCGUCAGCUCGUGUCUGAGAUGUUGGGUUAAGUCCCGCAACGAGCGCAACCCUCGUUCCAUGUUGCCAGCACUUCGGGUGGGGACUCAUGGGAGACUGCCGGGGUCAACUCGGAGGAAGGUGGGGACGACGUCAAAUCAUCAUGCCCCUUAUGUCUUGGGCUUCACGCAUGCUACAAUGGCCGGUACAAAGGGUUGCGAUACUGUGAGGUGGAGCCAAUCCCAGAAAGCCGGUCUCAGUUCGGAUUGGGGUCUGCAACUCGACCCCAUGAAGUCGGAGUCGCUAGUAAUCGCAGAUCAGCAACGCUGCGGUGAAUACGUUCCCGGGCCUUGUACACACCGCCCGUCAAGUCACGAAAGUCGGUAACACCCGAAGCCGGUGGCCCA